rnacentral:lncRNA from 1 species
UGGAAAGUAUAUUUUGUGUUUAUUUUUCAGCUGAGAGAAAGCUAGUGCUCUGUUUCAUCUCAUCUUUUUGGUGGAACCUUAAUAGUGAUAAAUAUCAGAAUUUCUCUUGUGUUUAAGAAGAUGUAUGCAAAGCCUUAGAAUUACAUUCAUAUACAGGAACUCUGAUCUCCAGGGUAAAGCGGCCUUGGGACCAAAGAAGAACUAAGAAACUGGGGUGCUCACUUCUUAGGCUGCUGACAAUUUUUUGUGGACUGCUUUGCCUCACCAUGUCAGACAACACAGAUGGACUAGUUUGAGGUGGAGGUGUGGGUGGUGCUGGUGUGGUGUCUGCAUGCUUGCCUUGCUAAGAAUUAACCAUUAAAAGUUUCAUGUGCAUGUAGUCGUUUCCUCCGUCAUACCAAGUCAUUUAUUGACAAUCACAUUGAUUCCGUUAUCAAGGAAGAAGGAAACUGAUAUUGUUAAUGGAUCUCUUUGUGCAUAAAAAGAGCUCCCAUUUUCCCUCCC